UGUUACUCUCACAAUUUGAUUCCGGAGUAUUAAUAGUAUUAUGAAAUUUAAUGGAUUUGGCGGCGAGAUAGACCAUUUAGAGGAACCUGCCCUAUAAACGAUGAGCCACGAAUAACUCUACUUUUCCUUGUAAACAGUUUGUAUACCGCUGUUGUUAGUCGGUUUUAAUAGAAAGCUUUCAGUAAUGGUUUAAAUCCAUUGACUUCAAGUAAAGGUGCAGCUUAUGGAGAAGACAGAGGUGGGUUACAUUUUUUAGAUAAAUACGGAUAACAUUAUGAAAAGGUGUUUGAAGGUGGAUUUAAGAGUAAAGCUUAUGUAAGCUUGAUGUGAGCACUAACUCGU
rnacentral:rRNA from 1 species